rnacentral:rRNA from 1 species
UACGUAGGUGGCAAGCGUUGUCCGGAUUUACUGGGCGUAAAGGAUGCGUAGGCGGACAUUUAAGUCAGAAUGUGAAAUACCCGAGCUUAACUUGGGUGCUGCAUUUGAAACUGGGUGUCUAGAGUGCAGGAGAGGUAAGUGGAAUUCCUAGUGUAGCGGUGAAAUGCGUAGAGAUUAGGAAGAACACCAGUGGCGAAGGCGACUUACUGGACUGUAAACUGACGCUGGAGGCAUGAAAGCGUGGGGAGCAAACAGG